rnacentral:rRNA from 1 species
UGGGGAAUAUUGCNCANUGGGGGGAACCCUGACGCAGCCAUGCCGCGUGAAUGAAGAAGGCCUUCGGGUUGUAAAGUUCUUUCGGUAUUGAGGAAGGUUGAUGUGUUAAUAGCACAUCAAAUUGACGUUAAAUACAGAAGAAGCACCGGCUAACUCCGUGCCAGCAGCCGCGGUAAUACGGAGGGUGCGAGCGUUAAUCGGAAUAACUGGGCGUAAAGGGCACGCAGGCGGUUAUUUAAGUGAGGUGUGAAAGCCCUGGGCUUAACCUAGGAAUUGCAUUUCAGACUGGGUAACUAGAGUACUUUAGGGAGGGGUAGAAUUCCACGUGUAGCGGUGAAAUGCGUAGAGAUGUGGAGGAAUACCGAAGGCGAAGGCAGCCCCUUGGGAAUGUACUGACGCUCAUGUGCGAAAGCGUGGGGAGCAAACAGGAUUAGAUACCCUGGUAGUCCACGCUGUAAACGCUGUCGAUUUGGGGAUUGGGCUUAGAGCUUGGUGCCCGUAGCUAACGUGAUAAAUCGACCGCCUGGGGAGUACGGCCGCAAGGUUAA